UAAUUAUUUUAUCCAGAUAAUCUUAUACAGUGUCACACAGGAAUUUUUCAAUUUAUUCGAUCUUAAAAAUUAUCUUUGAAUUAUUCAAACAUUAACAUGACCGAUUCGAUUCAUUCGCAAAUCGUUGCCACCAUCCAAUCAGGUAAUUUUCAAUUGAAAAAAACACGAGGGCCUGCUAUAAAUUCUUCCACAAAAAUAUUCGUGUCGAAUAAUUCUAAUCAAAUUGUGGCCAAAGUCUCUCCCAAAUCAAAUAACUAUGAAUGUGGUGAUUGCAAGCCCUUAGAAACAAAUGUUUUUCGUAUUAAAGCAUAUGAAAAGCCGACAAAAUUAGCCCC